rnacentral:rRNA from 1 species
UACGUAGGGACCAAGCGUUGUUCGGAUUUACUGGGCGUAAAGGGCUCGUAGGCGGCCAACUAAGUCAGACGUGAAAUCCCUCAGCUUAACUGGGGAACUGCGUCUGAUACUGGAUGGCUUGGAUCCGGGAGAGGGAUGCGGAAUUCCAGGUGUAGCGGUGAAAUGCGUAGAUAUCUGGAGGAACACCGGUGGCGAAGGCGGCAUCCUGGACCAAUUCUGACGCUGAGGAGCGAAAGCCAGGGGAGCAAACGGG